AACGAACGCUGGCGGCAUGCCUAACACAUGCAAGUCGAACGAGACCUUCGGGUCUAGUGGCGCACGGGUGCGUAACGCGUGGGAACCUGCCCUUAGGUUCGGAAUAACUCCCCGAAAGGAGUGCUAAUACCGGAUAAUGUCUUCGGACCAAAGAUUUAUCGCCUUUGGAUGGGCCCGCGUUGGAUUAGCUAGUUGGUAGGGUAAAAGCCUACCAAGGCGACGAUCCAUAGCUGGUCUGAGAGGAUGAUCAGCCACACUGGGACUGAGACACGGCCCAGACUCCUACGGGAGGCAGCAGUGGGGAAUAUUGGACAAUGGGCGAAAGCCUGAUCCAGCAAUGCCGCGUGAGUGAUGAAGGCCUUAGGGUUGUAAAGCUCUUUUACCCGGGAUGAUAAUGACAGUACCGGGAGAAUAAGCUCCGGCUAACUACGUG
rnacentral:rRNA from 1 species